rnacentral:lncRNA from 1 species
CUAAACUAUAGCUGGGAAUGGAUGACAAGAGAAAGGAGGGAUGGAUGGAUAAUGCAGAAGCCUACCCAGGCUUCAUUACCAAGCCAGGUGCUCAGCCCAUGGCCCAGGAAGCUUUUCAACUGUCAUACACCCCUUCGGGAUCCUCUGGCUCUCUCUUGGCCCUUCCUGGAGGCACUGAGCAAUCUGUCUGUCUACUAAACUAUUCCAACACUGUGGGAGCUUCAGGGUUGCCCUUUCUGCUUUUGACACCACACUUAGUGAAUCUACUUCUUCUUCUAUAGGUGGAAAUUCAUAAUUUUCCAUCCCCAAAUCCUUUGGAGGUUU